rnacentral:rRNA from 1 species
AGUGAACGCUGGCGGUAGGCCUAACACAUGCAAGUCGAACGGCAGCACAGUAAGAGCUUGCUCUUACGGGUGGCGAGUGGCGGACGGGUGAGGAAUACAUCGGAAUCUACUUUUUCGUGGGGGAUAACGUAGGGAAACUUACGCUAAUACCGCAUACGACCUACGGGUGAAAGCAGGGGAUCUUCGGACCUUGCGCGAUUGAAUGAGCCGAUGUCGGAUUAGCUAGUUGGCGGGGUAAAGGCCCACCAAGGCGACGAUCCGUAGCUGGUCUGAGAGGAUGAUCAGCCACACUGGAACUGAGACACGGUCCAGACUCUUACGGGAGGCAGCAGUGGGGAAUAUUGGACAAUGGGCGAAAGCCUGAUCCAGCCAUACCGCGUGGGUGAAGAAGGCCUUCGGGUUGUAAAGCCCUUUUGUUGGGAAAGAAAAGCAGCAGGUUAAUACCCCGCUGUUCUGACGGUACCCAAAGAAUAAGCACCGGCUAACUUCGUG